UACGAGGGGGGCAAGCGUUGUUCGGAAUUAUUGGGCGUAAAGGGUGCGUAGGCGGUCUGACAAGUCCGAUGUGAAAUCUAUGGGCUCAACCCAUAGUCUGCAUCGGAAACUGUCGGGCUGGAGUAUGGGAGAGGUGAGUGGAAUUUCCGGUGUAGCGGUGAAAUGCGUAGAUAUCGGAAGGAACACCUGUGGCGAAAGCGGCUCACUGGACCAUUACUGACGCUGAUGCACGAAAGCUAGGGGAGCAAACAGG
rnacentral:rRNA from 1 species